rnacentral:rRNA from 1 species
CCUAUACAUGCAGUCGAGCGGACAGAAGGGAGCUUGCUCCCGGAUGUUAGCGGCGGACGGGUGAGUAACACGUGGGUAACCUGCCUGUAAGACUGGGAUAACUCCGGGAAACCGGAGCUAAUACCGGAUAGUUCCUUGAACCGCAUGGUUCAAGGAUGAAAGACGGUUUCGGCUGUCACUUACAGAUGGACCCGCGGCGCAUUAGCUAGUUGGUGAGGUAACGGCUCACCAAGGCGACGAUGCGUAGCCGACCUGAGAGGGUGAUCGGCCACACUGGGACUGAGACACGGCCCAGACUCCUACGGGAGGCAGCAGUAGGGAAUCUUCCGCAAUGGACGAAAGUCUGACGGAGCAACGCCGCGUGAGUGAUGAAGGUUUUCGGAUCGUAAAGCUCUGUUGUUAGGGAAGAACAAGUGCAAGAGUAACUGCUUGCACCUUGACGGUACCUAACCAGAAAGCCACGGCUAACUACGUGCCAGCAGCCGCGGUAAUACGUAGGUGGCAAGCGUUGUCCGGAAUUAUUGGGCGUAAAGGGCUCGCAGGCGGUUUCUUAAGUCUGAUGUGAAAGCCCCCGGCUCAACCGGGGAGGGUCAUUGGAAACUGGGAAACUUGAGUGCAGAAGAGGAGAGUGGAAUUCCACGUGUAGCGGUGAAAUGCGUAGAGAUGUGGAGGAACACCAGUGGCGAAGGCGACUCUCUGGUCUGUAACUGACGCUGAGGAGCGAAAGCGUGGGGAGCGAACAGGAUUAGAUACCCUGGUAGUCCACGCCGUAAACGAUGAGUGCUAAGUGUUAGGGGGUUUCCGCCCCUUAGUGCUGCAGCUAACGCAUUAAGCACUCCGCCUGGGGAGUACGGUCGCAAGACUGAAACUCAAAGGAAUUGACGGGGGCCCGCACAAGCGGUGGAGCAUGUGGUUUAAUUCGAAGCAACGCGAAGAACCUUACCAGGUCUUGACAUCCUCUGACAACCCUAGAGAUAGGGCUUUCCCUUCGGGGACAGAGUGACAGGUGGUGCAUGGUUGUCGUCAGCUCGUGUCGUGAGAUGUUGGGUUAAGUCCCGCAACGAGCGCAACCNUUGAUCUUAGUUGCCAGCAUUCAGUUGGGCACUCUAAGGUGACUGCCGGUGACAAACCGGAAGAAAGGGGGG